rnacentral:rRNA from 1 species
GAGUUUGGGAGAGGGAUGCGGAAUUCCAGGUGUAGCGGUGAAAUGCGUAGAUAUCUGGAGGAACACCGGUGGCGAAGGCGGCAUCCUGGACCAACACUGACACUGAUGAGCGAAAGCCAGGGGAGCAAACGGGAUUAGAUACCCCGGUAGUCCUGGCCCUAAACGAUGAAUGCUUGGUGUGGCGGGUAUCGAUCCCUGCCGUGCCGAAGCUAACGCAUUAAGCAUUCCGCCUGGGGAGUACGGUCGCAAGGCUGAAACUCAAAUGAAUUGACGG